UGAAGAAGGCCUUCGGGUUGUAAAGCACUUUCAGUUGUGAGGAAAAGUUAGUAGUUAAUACCUGCUAGCCGUGACGUUAACAACAGAAGAAGCACCGGCUAACUCCGUGCCAGCAGCCGCGGUAAUACGGAGGGUGCGAGCGUUAAUCGGAAUUACUGGGCGUAAAGCGCACGCAGGCGGUUUGUUAAGCUAGAUGUGAAAGCCCCGGGCUCAACCUGGGAUGGUCAUUUAGAACUGGCAGACUAGAGUCUUGGAGAGGGGAGUGGAAUUCCAGGUGUAGCGGUGAAAUGCGUAGAUAUCUGGAGGAACAUCAGUGGCGAAGGCGACUCCCUGGCCAAAGACUGACGCUCAUGUGCGAAAGUGUGGGUAGCGAACAGGAUUAGAUACCCUGGUAGUCCACACCGUAAACGCUGUCUACUAGCUGUGUGUGCCUUUAAGGCGUGCGUAGCGAAGCUAACGCGCUAAGUAGACCGCCUGGGGAGUACGGCCGCAAGGUG
rnacentral:rRNA from 1 species